rnacentral:misc_RNA from 1 species
GCCAAGCCUCUACUCUGGGUACUCCCUUGUGAAACGGAAGGAUCAGAGCAUUCUUUAUACGUUCAGAAUAAUGGGGUUUUGAUUGCAUAGCCAAUGACUCCAGGUGUGACCUUGUAAAUUCAAGAGCUUCAUCGAGAAUAUCUUCUCCAUGCACACUCAUAAAACUUGCUUCAUACAAGCUGAGAAUGCCUCUCACAUCUUUGAUGAUGCUCUUCUUGAACUCUCCAUUGCUGUCCUUGAAUUUCUUGAACACAUCACAAGUCAUUUUGAAUCCGUGUUGUCUCAAGACUUGAAAAAGGAGAGCUGUAGUGUAGAGAUCAUAAUCAUUUUCAUCAAAGAGUUGAGGAACCCAAUUAAAAAUAUGAAUUAAUUGUUCUUCAAUUUCCCUCUCAAAAUGAUAUGAUAAACCAAGACGGCAAAAUAAGUUGAUCAAUUCAAUUUUCUUGAUCGGAUUACUUGCAUCAGCCAUUAACAUGUCUUUGACCUUUUCUUUGAGCGUUUCCACCCGUCUAGUCCACGAUUCAUAUUCUGAGUCCAGCAAAGAAAAAGAAGUAAAGCUGUAAGAAUCCCACACAGGAGGAGGGAACACUGAGUGAAUUAUGGUUUGGACAGUGUUUGGCUGUAAAUGAGGUUGCACUUCCAUUUUUCGCCAGGAGGAAAGGAAGGAGAAGUA